GGAGAGAUGGCCGAGUGGACGAAGGCGCGCGACUCGAAAUCGCGUAUCCCGCAAGGGGUCGGGGGUUCAAAUCCCUCUCUCUCCG
rfam:Candidate division WOR_3 bacterium SM1_77 WOR1_30_36_26719, whole genome shotgun sequence.